CCUGCCGCCCAACCUACCAUCAAAAAGAGCAAGAAGACUACUACUAGCUCCAGAUCGGCAAAUUCUCAAUUUUCACUUGCUCCAACUUCAUCUCCAAUAGUCAAUCCUCCUCCGAUCUCUGUAGUACCACCGCAGCCGACAUCAAAGAUAGCAUCGACAGAGUAUCAAGGUGGCUUGUCCACCUAAUAAGGACAUGACCACAUGCCAAUGAUCGAGUUCUUCCCUAGCACCGCCUCUGACAUCGGUGAGACUAGCUCGAAAAAUAGGACAAAAAAAGCAGCCCAUAAAGUCCUUCAUUUCUUCCUCCUCGAUCGAGAGAAUUGAUCUCUCUUAGGUGUC
rnacentral:lncRNA from 1 species